GCCGGCUGCGCCGCUCGCCUCCAAGGGAGCGUUCCGUGCUGGCCCCUCGCUCGGCUCCGCUCCGCCUCCGCCACGCCGCUCUCCGAGCUUCGGCAGCAGCCAGCGCCCCCUCCACGCUGCGACCCCGGCUCUCGGCUCUCCGUCCCUGUAGCUCCGUGCCCAGCACCUCGCGCCCCGCAACCUCGCCGUCUCCCAAGUCCCGGGCCCCGCUUCUGUCGCUGUCCGUCGCUGUCCGUGUGUCGCUCGCUCGGUCUGUCUCUCCGCCUCCCCAGCCCUUCCUUCCUCCCUGUCUCCCUCGCUGGCUUGCACGUUCGCUCGCUCUCGGACGCGGCGAAACAGCUUCGCAGGCAAAUCCCAGAAACCUUUGCAAAAAGCUUGCAAUGAAAUUUAAGAAGUUCUUCGAUUUCGGCGCCAUUUUCGAGUGGAGCCAGAGGUGACAUGCGAUUUUUUAAAAAGGGACUUGGUGGCUGGCGUCUUUCCCGACUGUAACGUGGGUUACGGCAGGCAGAAAAACAUCUGGUGAUAAUUCUGAAAAAAGUGCUGUGGCGUUUGGGGGGGUUGUAAAGCACGUUUUGCGGGCGGGAUGGGGGCAAAUCUGACAUUUAAAGUGUUUAACAAAUGAGUGCGGCCGGGAAAUUCUCAGGAAACGGACUGGGAAAAAAAAAACAACAACUAACAUGGAGGGGCGGGGAGAGAAAACUGAGUAAGGGGCAGUGACCGACUGUCAGCCUCGCUAGGGUCGGGAGCGACUGGUUUUGACAGAAUGUAAAUGAACUUUUCCUCUUAUUUGCAAGAAGUUAGUUAUGUCUUGGAAAGAAAUGUGUGAUUAAUUUCACAUUGUCUCUCCCGAAUUAAAACUUUAAAGGUUGUUUAGUUUUCCCCGUAGGGACUUGACAUUGUGGAAGUUUGGCUAGAAUGCGCCGAGAGAAGGUACAUCGUGUGUUUGGGGUGUGGGGGACGAAGGCAUAUGCAAAAUUAAAAGACAAAACGUUGUAGAGUAUGAACAGAGGAAGAGGCGUAUUCUUUGGCUCUUAAAUCAUUUAGCCAAACACAUUGCAGUUCAGAAGGGGGUGGGGCUAUGGCAACUCGAAAGUAUCGAUUCUUUGUCUAUUGUAUCAGUGAAUGACCCUCUCCUGAAGUGACAAGACGCCCCUUUGUAAUCUCUUUUCGUAAGUAAAUUUCAGUCUAAGGGGAAAUAUGUAAACUAGGGGAUCGAGGUGGCUUUUUAGGGGUGUAACUCGUUGUACUAUCACUGGGAGAGAUGAAAGGGGUUAGGGUGAAAGGUAUAAAUGAAUUUGAUUCCAAGAGCAAUCUGGAAGGGACCUUCGCCUUUGACACCGAUGCUGUUUCGAAUGAACUUUUGUUUUUCUAAGUAGUCAACUAAGGAAAUGUUAAAUUAGGCAUGACUUUAACUUCUGACAUGAUGGCUCGUAUAUUUGUGUGGAACAAAAUGUUGGGAGAAAGUUGUGGAGUUUUACAUGAUAAUUGUACAUUUGCUAAACAUGUUUUUUUUUUCUUUUUAAGGGCAGUCAACGACAUUUUUCUCCAUUAAUCCCAAAGUCAGUGUAAAAGUUGUUUGUAAAUAUCAUUGCCAAAACAAGAUGGAAUGUAGAGAUACUUGAUUGUCGCAAUUUAGGGAAUGGGGUUAUUGUUACUAAUGACUUUUUUUUUUUACCAUGACAUAGUGUAUUUGUUACCACUGGAUCUCAGUCUGGAUGUUAUAAAUUCGAUACUUAAUCUUAUUAAAUACUCUGCACAUUUUAUUAACUAAUAAAUAGGACACUUAACAUUCAUUGUACUGGUUUUGAAAAACCGACUUAAUUUGUAAGUGUAACAAGAUACUUACAGUUGGAUAAUUUAAAUGUCUAUUACUUGUGCUGAAAUGUAUUUAACUUUCAAAACCAUUACAGUUAGUGCUGAUUUUGUUGUUUUAACUUUUAGGUUUGUGAUUGAGGAUUUCAGAGUGGGUUUUUUUUUUAAUGCUUAAUUGAAUAUUGUAUUCAAACAAAAAGAGGGCAUGCAUGUGACUUGUUGCUAAUAUGUGUCCAUUUUAAAAAGGAAAAAGUGGUAUCUAAUGAGUUAAUCAUUAAGGAGUAUGCGCAGUGCCGGCCAUUUCAGGACAUGAAAGUUUCUGUGGAGCUGCUUGAAACAGGAAGGAGCGACUUGACAUCAAGUAUUUAAACUUUUUGAUUUAUGUUUUGAUAGAUGACAUUGAUAGGUAUAAAUUAUAAAUAAGUUUGAGUAACCAGUUUAAUAUGUAAACUGGUAUUUCAUCUACAGAAAGUUCUCUGUCAUUGUUUGGAGCUCUUUAAAAUAACUCAGCUGGGGUGUUUAAGAAUAAAAACACUAGCAGUGAGUUAGGACAUCUAAUGCUUUUAAAGAUAGAUGUAUAUGUCGCAACGAUAGUGUAAGAAUCAGCUGAAGCUACCGGUGAGGUUUUGGUUAUUUUCUUUCAGUCAUCUGAGUCCAUUUCCAAUAAAGGUUGUUUUUUUGUUUCGUUUUUUGUUUUUUUUUAAUGGGGACAAUGAAUGAGACUUGUAAUAUGCAGCAGGAAGAAGUUUCACCAAGACUUUGAAACUGGCAAGAAUGAUCCAGAUGUCCAAUUGCCUCUACUUAACCUUAUUCGUCUACCUUCAGAAGUAAUUAGAUUCUCUUCCACACUAAUUCGUAUCCCCCAUCGCUCUGCUUUUCACCCACUACGUUGUUCCAAGAUUCAUCCUCAGGGGAAAAAAUUGAGAGCCACACUUUCGGCUCCACCUGCAGCUCCUGGAAAUCAAAUGGUGAAGUUAUAAGAAGUACCUUAACUUGGAGUGAAGUGGCCUAGUCAUAAGUUUUGCCCUAUUCCUUGCCAGGGGGUGGGGCGGGGCUUCCUUCAGUCAUCCAGUCUUUAUUCACCCGCAGGUACCCCCAGAUCGAUCCCCCUUCAUUGACUCCGAGGGGAUACAGCAGCAAUUCAUGUUUUGAAGUGUUCUAAAUGGUUCAAAACGUGAGGCGCUGCUAUACCCCCUCGUGGGGAAGGUAGAAGGUGGGGUCUGCCGGACGCGUGUUCCUGCCACCAGGUGCCCGCUCCCCGCGAGGCCGGCUCAGGAGCAGGUAGGUGGGCGGGGGCUCGCGUCUCUGUUUCCGGCGGGUCCUCGCCCUUGUCCACGCAGCAGGGCUGUAGUCCGGGGAGGGCAGUAUUCCUGGCUAGGCUGGGGCGCAUAGGCGGUGCGAGUCGAGGAGAGACGCGGUGCCCGCGCUCAGCCGUGCCCUAGCAGCGGGAACAGUUCUGCAGUGAGCGAUCGGUGCUCUGGGGUAUUGUUUCCGCUGCCAGGGUAAGUCUGGGACUGCCGUUCGGGCCUACCCAGCAGGUAAGUCUUAGGCCAUCGCCUGCGGUGUCGGCCCCGGGAGCAGCGAGACCCAAGAUUGCAUCAAACGUUUGCCCCGUCUCUGCAUAUGUGACUGGACGUGAAUGAUGCUUCAUUUUGGCACCCCCUUUCCCUGCUCAGGUAGAAUGUAAACAAUUGAAAAAAAUCCCUUCCCAAUCAGAAUACCACCCACAGGACAACGAAGAAAACCUAUCUUCAGUCCCCACCCACGAAAUGCUGGGGGGUGGGGAGGACUGGAAAAGGAGUAAGGGGAGAGGAAGGGUGAGCAGCUGCAAGAAGUCUUUACACCUCUCUGCGGUUCCUGGUAAACGCGCUCAUGUCCUGGGUAUGGAAGGGACUUAAGAAUUCAGGAAAGAUCAAAAUAACGGGCCUCUUCCCCACUCCCUCGCCCUCCCUUCCCCGCUGCUGGGGGGUUAGGGAGGCUCCGUGGAGCUCCAGCACUCUAGAAGGAUCGGGUGAGGCGCGAGGCCUUGCGGGCGGGUGAACCCAAGGUGGGGUGGAAGGCUCCAACCCGCCCAAUCUGAGCCCGAGGCCUGCUGAGAAGCAUGGGGGCCUUGGGAUAGUUCCAGAAUGAGGAUGUGCGUUUCUAGCUGCUUUGCGCCCUCCUCCCCCAAAAAUCUGCUACCACAAUUCCAACCCGGCGGCACGCCCCCAAGACUCCUUUGUCGCCCCAGGGGCGGGACCUGAGCUGUCGAUUUCAGGAGCCCUUCGUGACUUCAAAAGUCCUGGGCACUGUUGCUCAUGAGUGCUGCACAACUGUCGCCCUCUAAAGCCACCUCCAUCCCUCACUGGGCUGGCCUCCUGAGCCUUCGGUGAGGAAACGGGGUUCCGAGUUGCCCGCCUGAGAGCUUAACAGUCUGACUAGAAAAGGGCUAAUUCGCUUUCUGUGCAAAUCUCUUGAGCUAAUUAUUUAAUCUGAAACAUGGACAGGUAAAGGACCAUUGGCGGGCGUGGGGAGGGAGGUGUGGAAUCUUUCCCACACUUUUUGUCACCUUAAAGAAAAAAAAAAGACACCCAAACUCCUCUGGUCUGAAUGGGCUGCCUGGAACUGGGCUUCCCGGGGCCAGGAGUGGGCCCCUAGAAGUUUCCCAGUUUGGGGUGGGGCCGGGGUUCCGAAGUCUAGAGCUGGGAGUCGGGUUCAGCGGCCCGAGACGCUGGCUCUCCCAGACUCCCUUGCGCCGGGGCAGUGCGCGGGGGCGGCUCGGGUCCCUCCCGGGCCGGCGGGGACCCUCAGGCUCCCGGGGCGCCGCCCACCAGCCCGACCCGGCGGCCUAGAAAUCCCCAUUCUGCUCCCGCCUCGCCCCGGCCGGCCAGCGCAGGGCCCCUCAGGCCCGCAAUCUCCAGGCUCAAACGGCGAACAGGUCCCCGCAUCCGCCUGCCUUUGCACUUGGGGGUGGGAGAGCCACCUUGUGACGCCCCUUCUGCCUCUCACCAGCUUCCCCCUUUCUCCCCGUCCUGUACGGUUCCCCCUGGAGCCAGAAGGAAGCCCGGUGCCAGCCAGCCUUCCUGAAAGACCAAGCCCGCGCCAUCCGGCUUCCUCCAGUGGACGCCUGCAGGACCCAGGUGAGACACGGAACCGGUUGGGGACGCGAGCCAGGGAUCCUGACCGGUUGGGGGCGGCGAGCAAGGGAUCCUGACUUGGGGGCGUUGCCUCCCGGAAUCCAAGCGGCCUUUUGCCCGGGUCUCCCGAGAUGCAUCGAAAUUGAGCUCGUCCACACAGCCCCCUGACUGCGUGAUGCCCUUUUCUGACUUAAAACAUUCCUUGUACCUUUAUUUACACGAUCCAAGUUGCAGUGUGCCUAGAUUUUCCUCCAAGGACAAAAAUGUGAAUAAAGCAAUAUUUUAGCCAAACAUUUCUGUGUCAAUUAAGAAGAUUGCAAUUCGUUCCAG
rnacentral:lncRNA from 1 species